GUUUGGAUAGCUCAGUUUGUAGAGCAGAAGGACUGAAAAUCCCUCGAGUCACCAGUUCAAAUCCUGUUCCUGACA